GGGGAUGUAGCUCAGUAGUAGAGUGUUUGUCUAGUGUGCACAAGGUCCUGGAUUCAACCCCUAGCACUGCCA
rnacentral:tRNA from 1 species